AACGCUAGCUACAGGCUUAACACAUGCAAGUCGAGGGGAAACGACAUCGAAAGCUUGCUUUUGAUGGGCGUCGACCGGCGCACGGGUGAGUAACGCGUAUCCAACCUGCCCACCACUUGGGGAUAACCUUGCGAAAGUAAGACUAAUACCCAAUGAUAUCUCUAGAAGACAUCUGAAAGAGAUUAAAGAUUUAUCGGUGAUGGAUGGGGAUGCGUCUGAUUAGCUUGUUGGCGGGGUAACGGCCCACCAAGGCGACGAUCAGUAGGGGUUCUGAGAGGAAGGUCCCCCACAUUGGAACUGAGACACGGUCCAAACUCCUACGGGAGGCAGCAGUGAGGAAUAUUGGUCAAUGGGCGAGAGCCUGAACCAGCCAAGUAGCGUGCAGGAUGACGGCCCUAUGGGUUGUAAACUGCUUUUAUAAGGGAAUAAAGUGGGAGUCGUGACUCCUUUUGCAUGUACCUUAUGAAUAAGGACCGGCUAAUUCCGUGCCAGCAGCCGCGGUAAUACGGAAGGUCCGGGCGUUAUCCGGAUUUAUUGGGUUUAAAGGGAGCGUAGGCCGGAGAUUAAGCGUGUUGUGAAAUGUAGAUGCUCAACAUCUGCACUGCAGCGCGAACUGGUUUCCUUGAGUACGCACAAAGUGGGCGGAAUUCGUGGUGUAGCGGUGAAAUGCUUAGAUAUCACGAAGAACUCCGAUUG
rnacentral:rRNA from 1 species